CUACGGCCGUUCCAUGCUGAAUAUACCGGUUCUUGUUAGAUCACCGAAGUUAAGCAUCAUUGGGCGCGGUCAGUACUUGGGUGGGUGACCACCUGGGAACACUGCGUGCCGUU
rnacentral:rRNA from 1 species